rnacentral:misc_RNA from 1 species
GCAAACUUGGUCAUUUAGAGGAAGUAAAAGUCGUAACAAGGUUUCCGUAGGUGAACCUGCGGAAGGAUCAUUACCGAGCUCCCGCCCUCUAGGGCGGAUCUCCCACCCGUGCCUACCUCACCUUGUUGCUUCCGCGGGGCGCCCAUCCCUGGGCCGCCGGCCCUUGCUGGCGAGCCCCCGCGAGAGGCCCUUGUCCAAACCGUCGUACCGUGCCCGUCUGACGAGAGAGAAAGCAUCAAAACUUUCAGCAACGGAUCUCUUGGCUCUAGCAUCGAUGAAGAACGCAGC